AUGUAUACUUUUAUUCUUAGAGGCAUUAGACCCUGCACCUGCACAGCCUCUGCAGAUGGAUCAAAGUUAUGGCGACAACAGGAAAGAUGGAUAAGGUGUCAAUAACAAAGUCCUGGAUCCCUGAUGACUGGUGGAUUGUACAGAACGUUUUCCCUCUGGUCCAAACAUGGGAUAUCGGGGAACAGUGUCCAACUUCCUCUUCAAGAUCCAAGGAUCGUAUGUUUCCCUCCAAAAUAGCAGCUUUCUUGGUUGGUUCUCUCUCGCUUCUCACUCCCCGUUUCACACGCCUCUGAGAAGAGGGAACGCAACACCUCUGCUACAACUCAACUCUCCGUGAAGCGAAAGAGGUAUGGACUGUAAGUGUGAGAAAGGAUGACAAAGGGCAGAAUUGACCGUUUACUAAGGAUUUAUUUCCUUU